UCUCUUUAAAGUAGAAAAUAUUCUCACAGACCCCCAAUGUUGACUUCAAUUCUUUUUAUUGUAAUUUUACUUAAAUAUAUAUGCAAACAUAAAACACUACAAACUGUUAGGCUUAUAGCUUUUAGACAACUAUAAAAAUAAACUUACAGAACAGAUAUAAUAUAAACUACAAAACCAAUGAAAUGGAAACGAGCUACAUUAGCUUACCAGGACAGAGCAGAGAGUAUUCCCGAAGCUCCAUGCCUGCUCAGCUUGGGAGGCCAAUGUUUCUAAUUACUCUUGAGUUCUGAGCUCAGCAUUGUCAGAGGAUUCCUGCCUAGCGGGGCCAGGAUUCUCCAACAUUUUUCUGUAUUUAGAUUAUUUCAAUGCUUCAUUAGCAUGGCUUCCCAUAAAGUCACUGGCCUCUACUUAACAUAACUGUAGCUGUUAUUUAUGAAGACUCUCUGCUGUGUCUUAUUGAAUCUGUGACUAUUAAAAUUGUACCAAAAGCAGUAUCAGCAUAAUAAUAAACAUUUGAACUGUGAGAAACAAAAUCACAUGAUGGCCCUCAGCAAGGUGAUCAUCUAAAGAUCUAAAAGAUGCUUAUGUAAUUUUAAACCAACUUUAUUGAGGAAUAGUUUACAUACAAUAAAAUGUACAGACUUUAUAUGCUUGGAUGAAUUUUGACAAAUAUAUACAUUUGUAACAAACACACCAAUCAAAAUAUACAUUGUUACCCCUCAGUAACUUUCCUGUUGUCGAUUUCAGUCAAUAUCCUAUCUGACUGCCAUGAAAGUUGUCAGAAUCAAAAUGGAGUCACUAAUGUUAAGAAACCACUGACAAAUAGAGCUGGGAAAGGCUAUGAAUAGAGACUUCUCAUGCUUGUAUGCCUGAUAACAAAAAAGGCUACAAAAACCAAAACUUUGCACAAAGGCUAUCACAACCCUACACAAAAAAUCUUCCAGGACAUCUGUCCAGCAACUGCCUGUCCAGCCUCUGGCUGGUGUCACCCUUGCUAUUGAUCUUUGUAGUCAAAGAUAAUUAUUUAAAAGCAAUUAUGAAAUUCUUCUCAUUUUCCCUUUAAAAUCCUUAGUUUUCCCUUACCUCCCUGAAUACACACAUAGUUUAGUAUGACAUGUCUACUCCCACUGCAAUGCCCUAUUCCUGGAUAAAUAUCUUUUCUUUUAGAGAGCCUGACUCUGCUUGUUUUUUAGGUUGAUACUGCCAAACCAACCCUUCACACACCCAAUAUCAGAAAAUCACUUCCAUUUUGCUCAAGGACUUCCUAUACAUGGAAUCACAUAGCAUCAUAUAGUCUCUUUUGUGUCGUCUUUCACUCAAUACUAUGUUUUUGAGAUCUAUUCAUGUGAUUAUGUACAUUAGGAAACUGUUCAUUUUUCUUGCUAAGUAGUGUCACAUUGUAUGGCUCUUCAAAAGUUUGUUUCUCCAUUCACCUGUUAAUGACAUUUGGGUUGUUUUUGGGCUUUGGUUAUUGGGAAUAAACUGAUAUGUCUUCCUGUGGGUUUAUGCUCUCUGAGAAGUGUAAUUGCUGUAUGUAUGGUAUAUAUAUAUAACCCUAUAAGAAAUUACUGAAUUACUUUCCAAAAUGUCUGGCCAUGUGCUGUACUUCUACCAGCAGUAUUUGAGAAUUCCCAUUGUUCUACUUCCUUGCCAAUAUUGAUGUUAUUAAUCUUUUUGAAUUUUAGCCAACCUAGUACAUGUGAAGUAGCAUCUCAGCUUACUUUUAAUUUGCCUUUGCCUUCUAACUAGCCAAUGUCAGACACUUUUUCAUGUGCUUUUGGCCUUUUGUAUAUAUUAUGUUGUAAGGAGUCUAUUUAUAAUUGCCUGUUUUUGAAUAAAAACAAAUUGAUUAUUUGUCUUUUUUCUUG
rnacentral:lncRNA from 1 species